AUAGAAGAGUGUCGUCAGCGUAGAGUAAUAUCUUGCAGUGUUUAACAAUGUUGGGCAUAUCGUUGAUAUAAAUAAUGAAGAGAAGUGGCCCUAAAAUGCUUCCUUGUGGAACGCCGACUGACACGGGUAGAGAGCAGGACAGCGUAUUGUCGAUGGAUGUUACUUAUUGACGAGAGGAAGGGUAGGACUCCAACCAAUUUAGGGAAUUAAUGUCAUCCAAGCCAACGGAUUUUAAUUUAUACAACAGAAUAGCAUGGUCAACGGUGUCAAAUGCUUUACUAAAGUCCAAGAAAACAGAGGCAGUAAUCAGACCGUUAUCAGCGUUUUCAAGAAUGUUGUCGGUAAAGAAAGCCAAAGCAGUGCUGGUUGAUAGUUUAGGUCUAAAACCAAAUUGAUUAGAAGUUAUGAUUUUGUUUUCGGUUAGGUAGUUGUAGAUUUGUGUGUGAACAAAACGUUCCAAAAUCUUACUUAGGGUUGGCAAUACUGUAAUAGGUCUGUAAUUUGACAUGUUCGAGCGCUCCCCAGAUUUAAAGAUAGGUGUGACUCUACCGUUUUUCCAGAUUUUGGGGAAAGUAGAGGAGCUUAGCGAUAGGUUAAAUAUUUGGGUUAGCGAUGGGGCGAUGACUACGGCAGCAUCUUUUAAUAGUCGAGCGGUGAUACGAUCAAGACCGGUGGAUUUGUUCGUUUUUAGUUUUGAUAAAUUCUUGAGAACAGACGUAAUUUGAAUCUCUUGGAAUUUGAAGGUUGAAUUAACUCCUGGUGGUGGAUUUCCGGGAGACUGGGAUUGCGUACAUUUUUG